rnacentral:sRNA from 1 species
AUUAGUGGGCGGGACACCAGAAAAAUUUCCCUGAACAAGGAGGCGACAUGUGAGCGUACAUCAUUGGGCAGUAUAGCCAGAUUUGAGGGGUAUAUGCGCGGGUAUCGAGAACCAAUCUUGCUCUAGUCGGAUGUUCUGAUCUUUGAAAGGGGGUAGACCGCGACACGUCAAAAAGGAUAUCCUUUCUUCUUAGUUCCCCCCAAGGUAUGACCAAUUUGAAUACCCACGAAACCAGCUCUAAAUGUGCCAAAUCUGCCUCAACUGCAGUUGGACCAAUUAUCUGCGGCUGUUUCGAGCAGACAUGGUACUGGGAAUCGCAAUAGAAGGCAACAAACUAACCGCCAACAAGUUGAUGCGUGGAAUUACAUAGAUAGAUCCCAAGGUGGCCGAUGGUUGAAUAUAUAUCAGAAAAAGUAGUCCACAAACGUUAAACAAG